GGUGGAUUGGCCGAGAGGCGAGGCAGCGGCCUGCAAAGCCGUAUACACGGGUUCGAAUCCCGUAUCCACCUCAA
rnacentral:tRNA from 2 species